UGAACGCUGGCGGCGUGCUUAACACAUGCAAGUCGAACGAGAAAUCAAUAGCUUGCUAUUGAGAGUAAAGUGGCGCACGGGUGAGUAACGCGUGGGUAAUCUACCCUUGAAUUUGGGAUAACAUCGCGAAAGCGGUGCUAAUACCGAAUGAGAUUUUGUAUGCCUUGGCAUAUAAAAUGAAAGGUGGCCUCUGAUGUAAGCUACUGUUUGAGGAUGAGCCCGCGUACCAUUAGCUAGUUGGUAAGGUAAAAGCUUACCAAGGCAACGAUGGUUAGCUGGUCUGAGAGGAUGAUCAGCCACACUGGAACUGACACACGGUCCAGACUCCUACGGGAGGCAGCAGUGAGGAAUUUUGCGCAAUGGGGUAACCCCUGACGCAGCAACGCCGCGUGAGUGAUGAAGGCUCUUGGGUCGUAAAACUCUGUCGAGUGGGAAGAAAUUAUAUAUAGCUAAUACCUGUAUGUAUUGACGGUACCACUAAAGGAAGCACCGGCUAACUCC
rnacentral:rRNA from 1 species